rnacentral:misc_RNA from 1 species
GGUUCACACCCACAGUCAAGGGACUGAACAUAGCAAACACAACGGAUAUUCUAAUAUGCCAAGACUGAAGUUUUCUAAUAAGAGGUUCUGGGAGGCAUGCGGAAAACUAAGCAACCGUGUCAUCUUCAGGGGAUCUCCUGUGUUAUGUCUCUCAACAGAAACACGCGACACUGAGACAGAGUGUGCCAGAAACAGUGAUGAUUGUUCCAAUAUAUCUAGUGUACAAGAAAAUGAUCAAGCAACCACAGUUGGGAAAGUUAUUCCUUCAAGUCAGGCAAUUGCAGAA